rnacentral:RNase_P_RNA from 1 species
CUCGCAGGACAGGUGAUCGCGGCUGCAAGUGCCGAAAGGCCGCAGGUGAGGAAAGUCCGGGCUUCAUAGGGCAGGAUGCCGGUUAACGGCCGGUGGAGGAAACUCUAAGGAAAGUGCAACAGAAAUAUACCGCCACAUAUGUGGUAAGGGUGGAAUGGCAGUGUAAGAGACUACCGCCUCGCUGGUAACAGAGAGGGCACAUGUAAACCCCAUUCGAAGCAAGACCAAAGCAAAGCAAUGACGUGGCCCGCUAGCUUUAGGUAGGUCGCUUGAGGCGGCUGGUAACAGUCGUCCUAGAUAGAUGAUCACCCAACGACAUAACCCGGCUUAUCGUUCUGCGACAAUU